rnacentral:rRNA from 1 species
CUGCGAAUGGCUCAUUAAAUCAGUCUUGGUUUAUUUGGUCUCGAGAGCGAAGGUGGAUAACUGUGGCAAUUCCAGAGCUAAUACAUGCAAUUAGCGCCGACUUCGGGAGGCGUGCUUUUAUUGGAUCAAAACCGACCGGGUUCGCCCGUCUCUUUUGAUGACUCUGGAUAACCACGCGGAUCGCGCGGUCUUGUGCCGGCGACAAACCAUUCAAGUGUCUGACCUAUCAACUUUCGAAGGUAAGCUACGGGCUUACCUUUGUGAUAACGGGUGACGGGGAAUCAGGGUUCGAUUCCGGAGAGGGAGCCUGAGAAACGGCUACCACAUCCAAGGAAGGCAGCAGGCGCGCAAAUUACCCAUUCCCGACACGGGGAGGUAGUGACGAAAAAUAACAAUACAGGACUCUAACGAGGCCCUGUAAUUGGAAUGAGUACAUUCUAAAACUCUUAACGAGUAUCCAUUGGAGGGCAAGUCUGGUGCCAGCAGCCGCGGUAAUUCCAGCUCCAAAAGUGUAUGCUAAAGUUGUUGCGGUUGAAAAGCUCGUAGUUGGAUAUUGGGCGAGCGCGGUCGGUCCGUCGCAGGGCGUGUACUGGUCGCGUUCGUCUCGAGCUUCGGUUCUCCGUCGGUGCUCUUGACUGAGUGUCGGCGGUGGCCGAGAAGUUUACUUUGAAAAAAUUAGAGUGUUCAAAGCAGGCUGGUCGCCUGAAUAGUGUUGCAUGGAAUAAUGGAAUAGGACCUCGGUUCUAUUUUGUUGGUUUUCGGAACGGAGGUAAUGAUUAAGAGGGACAGACGGGGGUGUCCGUACUCUGCCGUUAGAGGUGAAAUUCUUGGAUCGGCGGAAGACGAACUACUGCGAAAGCAUUCACCAAGAAUGUUUUCUUUAAUCAAGAGCGAAAGUCAGAGGUUCGAGACGAUCAGAUACCGUCCUAGUUCUGACUAUAAACGAUGC